AGUACAUCCGGGGGGAGACGUUUUCUGCACAAGUCCGACCCCUCCCUUUGCGAGCAUGCUUUCUGUAGCCAGACCAGUCGGACUCGAAAUAUUUGCAUUUAGCAUGGCUGGAAGGAGAUUAUUAAGUGCAUGUUUUAGGUGCAGUGUUGUGAUUCACGACUUGAGUUUGCAGAAGAAAUGACUUCCCCCUAGAUUGAAGUCAUGAAGGUGAAUAUUGGAGCCAUGUGACAAGGCCGCACCGGCGCGGAAAUGUGCUGGCCCGGUAAUAAACCCGGAUCGAUGCGGUGUUUUUGAGGCGGUUGCACAUUCACACGUGGGCUGGAGGAUGGCGUACUUUCAGAUGAAGGUUGGCCGAGGCCUCUUAUGACUUUAUGACAGAUUGCAGGAGAGGAUUGAUUCCUGGAAUAGCAAAUGGGGAAUAAAAGCUUUGACUGCAGUGCUCAAGAAACAGAGGCACUACUGGAAAUUACAAUGUUACACCAUGAUUCUUGGGUUACAUGUGUUUUUGAACCAGAAGAUAUACAUACACUUAUUUUUCUGGAUGUAACAAAUGCCCUGUAUGAAUAAAGCAUUUUUCAACAAA